AGAGUUUGAUCAUGGCUCAGAUUGAACGCUGGCGGCAUGCCUUACACAUGCAAGUCGAACGGCAGCACGGGAGCAAUCCUGGUGGCGAGUGGCGAACGGGUGAGUAAAGUAUCGGAACGUGCCCAGUCGUGGGGGAUAACGUAGCGAAAGCUACGCUAAUACCGCAUACGAUCUAUGGAUGAAAGCGGGGGAUCGCAAGACCUCGCGCGAUUGGAGCGGCCGAUAUCAGAUUAGGUAGUUGGUGAGGUAAAGGCUCACCAAGCCGACGAUCUGUAGCUGGUCUGAGAGGACGACCAGCCACACUGGGACUGAGACACGGCCCAGACUCCUACGGGAGGCAGCAGUGGGGAAUUUUGGACAAUGGGCGCAAGCCUGAUCCAGCAAUGCCGCGUGCAGGAUGAAGGCCUUCGGGUUGUAAACUGCUUUUGUACGGAGCGAAAAGGCUUCCACUAAUACUGGGGGCUCAUGACGGUACCGUAAGAAUAAGCACCGGCUAACUACGUGCCAGCAGCCGCGGUAAUACGUAGGGUGCAAGCGUUAAUCGGAAUUACUGGGCGUAAAGCGUGCGCAGGCGGUCUAGUAAGACAGGUGUGAAAUCCCCGGGCUUAACCUGGGAACUGCACUUGUGACUGCAAGGCUGGAGUACGGCAGAGGGGGAUGGAAUUCCGCGUGUAGCAGUGAAAUGCGUAGAUAUGCGGAGGAACACCGAUGGCGAAGGCAAUCCCCUGGGCCUGUACUGACGCUCAUGCACGAAAGCGUGGGGAGCAAACAGGAUUAGGUACCCUGGUAGUCCACGCCCUAAACGAUGUCAACUGGUUGUUGGGUCUUCACUGACUCAGUAACGAAGCUAACGCGUGAAGUUGACCGCCUGGGGAGUACGGCCGCAAGGUUGAAACUCAAAUGAAUUGACGG
rnacentral:rRNA from 1 species